UACAGAGGUCUCAAGCGUUGUUCGGAUUCAUUGGGCGUAAAGGGUGCGUAGGCGGCGCGGUAAGUCGGGUGUGAAAUCUCGGAGCUUAACUCCGAAACUGCAUUCGAUACUGCCGUGCUUGAGGACUGGAGAGGAGACGUGGAAUUUGACGGUGAGCGGUGAAAUGCGUAGAUAUCGUAAGGAAGACCAGUGGCGAAGGCGGGUCUCUGGACGAGU
rnacentral:rRNA from 1 species